GCAACCGGAAAUGGAAUUCCAGCUUCCCGUCCACCUUUUGUCUAACCCCGUCCGUUGCAUGAGAUGAGUUUGCUGCUGCUGGACACCCACUCGCUGAAGAUGGUCCUGCUCGAUCUCCCCUCCAUCGGCUCGCAGGUGGUGAGGAAGGCACCCGCCAGCUACACCAAAAUCGUUGUCAAAGGCAUGACCCGGGCUGAGAUGAUCCUCAAGGUGAUGGCCCCUCAUGAACCGUUGGUGGUGUUUGUUGACAACUACAUCAAACUCCUCACAGACUGCAACACAGAAACCUUUCAGAAGAUACUGGACAUGAAGGGGCUGAAGAGGAGUGAGCAGAGCAGCAUGCUGGAACUCCUGCGCCAGCGGCUCCCCGCACCGCCCUCGGGGGCAGAAAGCUCCGGCUCACUGUCCCUGAUGGCGCCAACACCAGAGCAAGAGUCGUCACGCAUCCGCAAGCUCGAGAAACUCAUUAAAAAGAGACUGUAGCAGCAGCAA
rnacentral:sRNA from 1 species